GGAUGUGACCCUUCCUGGAAGGAUUCCUGCUGUCUUUGAGCUGGUUGGAGGAGAGGAUCCACCUGAGCUGAGGUGGGCAGAAGGCUCUUGGCCCCUGUGCACACACAGGAGAUACCAAGACCAGAAACCUUUCCUCCCAAAUGAAUGCCCUGACCACUGAGAUAGAGAAUUUCCUAGGUAUGAUACCUUCUGGGUGCAGCUGAUGGAGUGGGUACCAAGCAGCACACCCUGCUCGCUCCACACCAACCUGCUUUCCCUUCAUCCCUUCAAGUGUGCUGCAAUCAGCUGAUCAUCACUCAGUACCUGUAGCUAACCAGCAGCGCUUGAGCUACAUGAAAAGCAGGCAGUUAAGGUGCAAUCUCAUGCCAGGACCACAUCAUAGUUUCAGAAGAAGCUUCUGAGUCCACAGGCUGCCACAGUGUUUCUACUGAAUUUCAGAGUUUUAGUUCCAACCGCCACUGGGCAGCCAAAAUGUUAGUGUAACUCCUUUUGGAUUCAACAGUCUACCUAGUGGCUUAACCUGCUACUGAAGGUCGGGGGAAUAAUUUAUCUUCCACAACACCUAGACAUCACCAGCUAUACUUCUGGAGAUAUCCUGGAAAAUGAAACUGCGAAAACAUUCCAAGAGCUUCAGUGGGGUUAUUGUCUAUGACAAGAUCCUCUUGGACAAUACACAGACCUUCGUGCAGGUAUUGCUCUAAUACCCAAUAAAAAUCAAAGCUCCCUCUCAGGAACACUCUGCUCGCUGUGCACAGUAUUUUAGAUGGACUGGUAAUAUGUGGAAUCAGCACUAUCAGUGACGAAAACUAAUUCACGGCUUCUUACCCACAUUCUCAGUUUAAGCAUUCAUUGUUCUUUUGAAUGUGUUACUUUCUUACUUUUGAAGGAAGGUUUCUCAUGUACCAUACAGAACACCUAGCCAUGGAAGAUGCUAAUCACUUUUCGGAUGAAACAGUUGCCUUUAAAUCAACUCUGCUUGAAAAACUCCUGCAAGGGACCUUGCUGGAAAUCAUCAAACUCACUGUCCUGGAGAAGAAUCCCGAUCCUUGUCAGCCAUGGCUACAGUCCCACAGAAAAUGAGGGAAAACACAGAUGAAUUCAGCUUAGAAGUAGUAUGGGAAUUACUUGAUCUUAUGUCAGAGAUGGCCAUUGAUGUGCUUUAAAUAGGAAUAGACAGAAAGCUUCUGUAUUGAGGAAAAUCAAUCUUUUUGUCUUCAGAUGACAUCUUUUCAAUUUAAGACUGUACAUACUCUGAGAAGUCAAAUCUGUGGUCCUUGAAAAUGCUAUGCUUAUUUUGAAAGAAAAGGAUAGAGAUCUGGGUUUUUUUCCCCUGAAAAUGUUAAGCUUUAAUACAAACAAAGCUAGCAAAUUCAUCUACACUUGGAUCCUGAAUCUAGACAAUUUUCUGGAUUUUCUGUGUGCUGCUGGCUAAAAGUCAACACAAGUAAAAUGAGAGAAAAAAAAAAGGGAUACGUGAGCUGAAACAUCUUGCUACAAAUGCUUGCUUUCCUGGAUGACCCUAGUCUGGAUAGAUAAAGGCUCUACUCUUUACACACCAACUACACAUGAUUCAAACAAGAAUCUAAUGCACAGACAGACUGUUUAGUACUGAGGCACAUCUUCAGAUUAUUUCCAGAUAGGAAUAUAAAUAUGUGUAGCUAAAAGACUCAGUGCUUGCUGUUCCUAUCUGCUGCAUGCAAUAUUAUAUUGCCUUGCAAAUCUGUCUAUUCUAAUAAAUCAGCCUGCAGAUACGGAGCAGGAGGGUCUGCUUUUGUGUGCAAAAGGCUUCUAAAGAGACAAUCAGCACGCCUGUGCGGAGACACCGCCUAUGCCGCAGACUGGAGCCCCACUGGGAAAAGUGAGUGAGUGCCUGAACGAAGGAAGGAAUGAAAGGCUGCCCCUCAGGUGGGCUCCCUUUGCCUGCAAUGAGGAGCUGUGGUUGCGUGACUCACUGGCUGGCCGUCACGAGAAUGUCUGAGAGCAGGACGAUGUCACAGGCAUGCUGCAGACACACCACAAGCCAUGCACGGUUUAGACUCAUCUGCUGCUGCUUUGGGGAAAAAUGGUAAACUAUGACGGCAAGCUUAAAACAAUUAUGGAGAAUUAUUUUAAACACAGUUGUUAAGGGAGGGUAAAAAUUAAUAAUUUUCAUAAUCAUCCUUUUUUUAGGCUCCGUGUCCUGAGUCCAACAGGUGAACACUGCAAAAUUGACUCUAACCAACAGGAAAAGAAAAAGGGAUCGGGUGAUGUCACAGACUCUGGGGCAGGUUAAAGCCAUUGCACAAAAUACUCUAGCAUAAUCUAUACACAAGCUUCAACCCAGGAAAGUUAGUAGGAAGUCUUUCCAUUGAUUUCAGCUCACUGAGAUUGAUGCCCUUGAGAAACACAGCAUAUCUACCAGUUUAUGCCCCUGCUCCACCCCUUUGUGGAGAAUUGUGGUCCAUUGCACACAAUUUAGGAUCACAGGCCUUGCUCAGAACUGCUGGGUGGGUCCUUCCUUCAUUCUUUUCUCCUUGAAGACAACUCUGAAGCAGGGCUUCUUGAUGCUGUCUCUUUGCACAGGAAUGCAACAACAUCUGAACUACUGCUGGGCAUACUCAGAAAAAAAGCCCUUGACUAGGAAUCAGAUGUGAAGCUAGACGGGAUAAGGACAAAUCAAAUCACUGCCUUCUUCUGACCUCCACAUGCCUGUUUUGCUCAGGAUCUCGCAGGCUUUUUGGGACAGCUACAGUUCAUCUACUUUGAAAGCAGCACAUUUUUAUUUUCCUGGUUACAAACCAUGUUUUAAUUAUCUGCUGUUGUCAGCUGCUACCAGGCCCUUCUUGGCUAAGCCCCUUUGCUAUAAGGCCAGACUGAAUUUCUGUUCUCUAAAAUACAGGUAAGGCUGUCUAUGGUCCUCUUAUGUUACAGCCUGCCUGGUGGCAAGAUCAGUUCAGACUGUGCCUGUGUCAUGUUUUUGUGGGGUCUGCUUCAUCCCUUCUGGCAUGUCCUAGCUCUUCCAGUCCUCAAGCUCCUUACCACCUGCAAUCUACACCAGGAAGCCUUGUACAUCAUUGCCCUGCAGGCUUACUUUCUUGAAACUGGUUUCUGUCUCACCCCAAAUGGGCACAAGCUGUACCUAUUCCCACCCGAGGCUGCUUGUUAGGCAUAAUGCCACACCUCCUCACAGACUCACAUGAUAACUGAGGGUGGAGGGGACACUCAGAAGCCCUCUUGCUCCUUGCUCCGGCCAGGGUGAGCAUUCAAGCAUUCUGAUGCUAAACACAGACAGACACGCUGCAGACUGACAUUAAAUUUCUCUGCAGACACCUUUUGGUCCUGAAGAAAAGGUGAUGGAAAUGAAAGCCCAGCAUUUUUCUCCCUACCUACUUUAAAAGAAAAAAAAAAGCUUGUAAUUUUCAUUUCAUCGCCUUCCACCGCAGACCUUGAAAGAGCAGCAGACAAUGGACCUAUACACAUACUCCCAAACUCUAACAUUGAUGUGGCUGGAAGCUGCCCCAAAUACAUCAUUAGAAGUAGUAUUCUGCCUUUUUUUUUCCUGCCUACUCCCGAGAGCCAGGAUCUGCUGCUCUGUGUGCCCAUCUGGUCUUUAAACAAUUGUUUACCCUGACAAUCAAGCUUUGGCAUUAGUUCCUAGCAUUGAAGUCUAAGCAGGGCUGAGUUUUGCUCUUUGUGACAUGGAGAGCACAGCAAAAGCAGACAGCAGAGACCUAAGCUACCCACCCAGCAUCAUCCUAGACUGUCAGAGGAGAAGACCAAGUACAGACAAGAGGAUGAAAACAUUACCUUUCAGGUUAUUAAAUGCUGCAAGAGUAAUCAUGGCUGGUGUUCCCGUAAGCCGUGGCUCUUCUUUCUAUAGUCUCACACCACUUCCGUCUGCUUCUCUUCCACUUACGCUGGUGGGCUGGUCUGCCUGGAUUAUGUAUAAUUAUGAAAUCUUUAAGACGUUCUUUGAUGCUAAUUCAAGUCAAGCAAGGCUUUAUUUUACAUGGAUGUUUUUUUCUUUCAGCUUUCAUAGGUCUGAGCAGCAUAGUGUAUAAUAGUGAAAAAUCAGGAACCACCGCUGAAAUUUACUUUUGUAGAGGUUAGUAUUCUUGGCAUAUGACAUAGCCAUGCUGCAAGAGUUUUCAAAUAUUAGUUGUAAUAUUUACUUUGCUUUUGUGAAGAAUGUGUUAGUUUAAACAUGUCUAAGGUAAAGUGAAAUAAUUGUGUUUUCUCAUUUUUGUGGUCCUUUCCACCUACUUUCCUCUACAGUUUGUUUGUUUUCAGUGUACACAGGAUUGUACAAAGAAGCAAACAAUUACAAGGAAUAGUGUAAUUAAAAAGUUCAAUGGAUAUUUUAACUGUUUUGUAGGCAAGAUAUAUUUAUUUCCUUGAGGGGAAGAAAAAUUGCAACAGCACUGUGUGGAAAUUUUCAUAUCUUGAAAAAAAAUCUUGUAUUUCUGAAUCAGUUAUUUCGUGUAUGUGAGGAUAACUGUGAAACUGCCAAAUAUUCUAGUAAAAAAUUCUGCUAGUUCAGGAAAAUGGAAUUCAAGACUAUGCAAAUCCACACAGCUUCUUUUACUAUGACAGUUAUGUCAGCAACUUGAAAAGAAGCCAACUCCUACUUGCCUUGAGCAUGUAUUUUGUUGGGUAUGGUGGUGGUCAACAGUGAUAGACUGGCAUUAGACUUUUGCGAAAUGGAUCCAACUUUCAGUGUGACUAAUGCAGAAAAAAAAAAGUCCUUAUGGCAAUCUCUUUUGGUAGUAGUCCAAGGAGGAGUAAUGACCGCUACUCCAGCUAUCAUUAGUCUGUCUUCUUUUCCAAUCCAGACUUGUAGCUCUGGACUAUCUGCGCGCUAAUCUAUUUCAGAUGCCGAGUGCCACACAGGACCCGUAUUGCUCCAAGACAGGAAUUCAUGUCGAGUCCAAGCUCUAAGUCUCAUCAUAAAAGUUCCUUUGUCCCUGAAAAGCUAGUCUGCUUCAGGACUGUGUGAAUCUCAGUCAGAAAAAACGGUAUGAUUCAGUGCUUAACGCAACAGAGCCCUGACCACAGUGGCAGUAACAUGCAUUGGGAAAUGAUGAUUUCUUUCAGAGUUGGUACUGAGGAAGGUGCUACAAAGAUGCAUUCAUGGUAGUAAACCCAAGGAGGGGGAGGCAGAAGAUUGUUUACCCAAGGUAAUGUAGUGUGAAUCUGGAAACACUGAGACAUGCCAGGGUUGACCAUUAUGAAUCCUCAAGUCACAAAGGAGGGACAACAUUAGCGAAUGGGUUUGAAAAAGCUAAGCCACUUCCUUCCAAGCCUCACACAUCAGGGCUUGUCUUUUUGUGAAACAUUAUUAAUGAUAUUUAUACUGUGGUAACACUCAGGAACGGUUGAGGCCUCAGGAUAUUAGUUACAAACUGUAGAUAAUUACAGUUUCUGCCUGAAGGAACAAACAACAGUUGUGGUUGGAAGGUACAGUUCUGUUCAAAAAAUACCACGUAGAAAUUACAUUGACAUGGUCUUACUUUGCAAAUCUAUUUCAUAUAUGUAUUCAGGCACGCGUGCUAUAUACUUUAGUGACAAAAUAAAGGCCAGUUAUGUAUUUUCCCUACUCUGAUGACAAUGAGACUAAGCUGUUUUCCUUUGUUCAAAAGAAAUACCUUCUAAAUUAGUCAUGUUACCUGUACAAAGUUGUGGCUAAAGGUAUAUUUUAACCUGCAA